CCCCCACCUAACCCCACUACCCAUCAUUCUCAUCCACUCAAUUUCACCCACCUCUCUUCUCUCUUUUGGCCGGCUCUCUCUUUUCUUUCUUUCAUUUUCUCUCUUUCCAUUUUAUUGAAACACACACACACACUCACCCGCCGGCCUCCACUCCAAACCACACCAUCUCACCAUCAUUUUUCCGGCAAGAUCACCAGAAAAAUACUUAGGAACUCCAAAGCAUCUUCAUCAUUUUAUUUGAGGUUCUAGCUAAUCUCCCCUUGGAGCUUGGAGAAUUAGGAUUUUGCGGUUGCAAGGAAAGUAGCUUUUUAAUCGGUAUUUUUGGAAAAUAACCAUGUCUUAUAAAUGUUGUUUUUGAGUCAAACACAUUUUGGAAAAUGAUAUAUAUGGAUAUCUACUUUCUUAAAAGUAUUGUGUUAUGACCCUUACUAUAUAUGAAAAAUGCAUCAUAUUUGGUAUUGCAUUUGGGGAAAUGCAUGAAUUGUUGAUAUGGAAAAAUGAGCAUCUUUUAUUUAAUCUUUGAUAAGAAAAUCAUUGAUUUUAUGGUGUAUUGAAAAAUUUAAAGAUGCUUAUCUUGUCUUGUAUUAUUUGAGAAAUUGUUAGAAAAUCUUUUGACAAAAAUGAAGUUUGAAAACCUUACAAACUUUGUAGAAGUUAGAUUAUUUAAGGUUUUCUGAAACUACUUGGAUAUGAACUAUGUGUUUCAAAGUAAGGUAACCUGUGAGUUUAUGUGAUUUUAGCACUAUGCCAUGUGUGAUUUCCCGGUGAUCACCCGAUUUGGUUUCCGUAGUCUUUGUGACAAUGGAAUCAAAUUUAGGUUAGUGCCCUUUCACUUUGGAUGACGCAUUCUUCCCUGUUGUCCAUGGGGGGAAGAGGUUCCUUGAUUGUGUGUGGGUGAGGCUGCUGUCCAUGGGGCCAAGAGACCACAUGCAAGAGAGGUCCUAUUUGACGUGCUCUCUCUGCUGCCCAUGGGGGGAGAGAAGAACCUUGAGGGUAUGGGCGAGGCUGUUGUCUAUGGGGCCAAGAGUCUGCAUACCAGAGAGGAUAAUAUCAUGCCAGUUGUGAAUGGGUGGAUCCCCUGACCGGUUUAUGUGGUAGUAUGGUAUAUUUAUGAUAAAUUACCGUAUGUCAGAUUUUAUGGCUUUGGAAAUUAUAUUGUUAGUGCUCACAGAUUAUAAUAUAUAGUUUCAAGGUAUUUACUUUGACAAACUUUGUGUUUCAUUAUUUAAUCAUUCUUGUCAUAUUAUUAUUAUUAUUAUUGAAAAUGAAACUUGCAUUUCCCCCA